AAUUUGUAUUGUUUAGUUUAUUUCCUUUUUUUGUGAGUGAACUUAAUCUUCAGUUGAUCGGCAAUUUUCAGCAGGAAUGAUAAAGAGUCUUCAUGGAUGGCUAAAGCUCGCCUUUGGGUUUUCCUUUUCUCAUCUACUGAAAACACCCCUCACUUCCAGGAACUGUCUGCGUAGGUUUCUUAGCUGAGCUCCAUCACCAUUAACUUUCCUCCUUCUCUUCUGCCACUUCUGCAAGCCCUUCCUUAACUGACUUGAAAUGAGAGCCCCAAAAGCUCGCAGAGACUCUAGGGCUGUGGUGCAUAUCCCUCACCUAUUCUUGUGAGUCAGUACAAAAAAUUAAAUAGCUCAAAAUUUUAUUUAUUGUUAUGCUCCUCAAGAAAGAUCCCUCCUGCUUUCUGAGUCGGCUGCAGGUUUGUGGUGCGCUCUGAGGCAUCUGUCCUGCGCCAAGAUGCUUCCAAGUAUUAUUAAAAAUGUGUGGAUCCCCACGAAGCCCUACUAUACCCAAGUUUACCAGGAGAUUUGGAUAGGAAUGGGGCUGAUGGGCUUCAUCGUUUAUAAAAUCCGGGCCGCUGAUAAAAGAAGUAAGGCUUUGAAAGCUUCGGCGCCUGCUCCUGGUCAUCACUAACCAGAUUUACUUGGAGUACAUGUGAAAGAAAACAUCGGUCCGCCUGUAAAUUUAAGCAAGCCGUAUUAGAUGGGGAGCGUGGAACGUCCCUCUACACUUGUAUAAGUACCAUUUACUUCACGGCAUGAAUAAAUGGAUCUGUGAGGUGCAAAAAAAAAAAAAAAAAAAAAAAAAAA